GUCAGAACAGAUGGGUUCCCUGACUCUGCUGCUGCUACCUCACCAUGACCUGUGCAAACCUUGUAUCUCCUCUAGUUCCUGGUGUUUUAAUUUCAAAAACAGUAUUUAACUCCCUCCUAUGGUAUAGGUUGGCUGCUUCUUUAUGAAUACCUUGUAUCUAAAUUCACUCCUGCUUACAUAAAACAGGGCAGGACUUCCAUUGCAAUUAAAAUAACUUUUUUUUUCUCUAUACAUAGGAAAAAGUCACAUCUUAUAUAAAUUUUAACUGAAAAUGGAAGCUUUACUCUAUUUCCUAGCACUUUGUGAAUGGUAGCCUUGGAGGGGGCAUGGAGAGUGCCCUAUCACUCCUAAUAUUGAGUUGUGUAUGCAAAUAGGCUAUUAUUGAUGCAGGCGUGUUUCAUGUUAGGUAUCUUCAUGUUAGUCAAAGAUAAUCUUUAAUAUUUUGGUUUCUUUAUGACCAGAUACUAUUAAGCAGGGAUAGAUUGACCAUGAGCUAAAAUACUUGGUUCCUUUUUUUUUUUCUCAAUUUAAUGAUUGCCAAUUUCACUCAUUAUGAAGACACCAGAAACGAAAUUGCUGGAAUGAGUACAUGCCACAAUAAAGCUACUGAAAGCCUUGAAGAUGUCUAGGUAUUUUGCAAAGUAUGUAUGGGUCAUAGGUUUUAGGAGUGUGUGUUUAUAUAGGUUGGUAUUUCCUGUUUCCUGGGAUUCUCUUUCAUUCCCUACUCACAUAAUAGAUUCUCUAAAAGUUCAGCAUAGGUACAAGCCACUGCUGGGAUAUUUUCUACUGCGCUCAUUUGAAAGGGAAAUGAUAUUUAUCUUUAAAGCAUUGUAAAUAUUAAUGACAUUUGUCACUACUUAAUGCUUAAUUUUAUUUGUAAAACUUCCUAAGAUUUCUCUGUUGAAGAUUCUAAAUUUGCUUGUUGUAGAUG
rnacentral:lncRNA from 1 species